UCUCCCACGAAAUAAAGCAUAUAAAGUAGAGAGAUAUUCUAAGGCUGUAAAUUCUGUUCGAACGGCUUUUGCACUCACCGAAGCCGAUCUCUUCUCAUCUAUCUCUAUGAGACAGUCGGUAGUCACAGACGACGCAGAAGAGAAGGAAUACAGUACAGAAAAGGAAGACACGAGAAGAAAGAAAGGGCUGAGAAAAUCAUGAGCAUCGGACUUGGGAGUUGGAUCGUCCGCAUGUUUUCACUUGAGGGCUUCAUAUCAUCACCACCACCGGUCUAGGCUCUCCGCCGUUGCCCUUCGGCGGCGCGCCGGGAUUCCACUACUUGAGCCUGCUUUUCUUCGUGUGAAGCGAGGUGGUUGUUGGGCUACAGACCUCACCGCCUCCUCAUCCUCGUUUUUCAGGGCCCCGCGCGCGCUGUUCCAUUUCCAUGUCGACCAUGGCGCACUUUUGCAGGACGCCGGUGCCACCAUGCUCGUUACUGCCGGCGCUUAUGCUCUCGUUCUCGCUUUCGAUAAGCUUACCAUGCUUAAUGUAGUCGAACAGUUUAUCUUCAUAGGUUGCACUUCUCUGAUAUCUCAAUUUCCGAUAUUUUUUUUGGGCAAUUUCAACUUCCAAUAACUCGAGGGAGUGGCCUAGAAAUAACAUCCUAUCCUGAAAAGCGCGGGGGCUGAAACUGAGCUUUACAAAAGAAUUGGAGUCUGCAGAAUUUUUGCAGCAGAUUGAGUAUUCUGAACUCUGAAGUCAGAACCAUUUUUGUGGGGCUGUACUAGCACGGGACCUGACCAGGAGAGCAUCCGAGCAGAUAAGGAAAGGGAAUUAGGAGAGGCGCAAACGGAGAUCAAGGCACUGAAGUAUUCUGAACGUCUCAAAGAAAAGGCUGUUGA